UACGGAGGGUGCGAGCGUUGUCCGGAAUUACUGGGCGUAAAGGGCUCGUAGGCGGCCAACUAAGUCAGACGUGAAAUCCCUCGGCUUAACCGGGGAACUGCGUCUGAUACUGGAUGGCUUGAGUGUGGGAGAGGGAUGCGGAAUUCCAGGUGUAGCGGUGAAAUGCGUAGAUAUCUGGAGGAACACCGGUGGCGAAGGCGGCAUCCUGGACCACGACUGACGCUGAGUGAGCGAAAGCCAGGGGAGCAAACGGG
rnacentral:rRNA from 1 species